GAUGAACGCUGGCGGCGUGCCUAAUACAUGCAAGUCGAGCGAACGGAUGAGGAGCUUGCUCCUCUGAUGUUAGCGGCGGACGGGUGAGUAACACGUGGAUAACCUACCUAUAAGACUGGGAUAACUUCGGGAAACCGGAGCUAAUACCGGAUAAUAUAUUGAACCGCAUGGUUCAAUAGUGAAAGACGGUUUUGCUGUCACUUAUAGAUGGAUCCGCGCCGCAUUAGCUAGUUGGUAAGGUAACGGCUUACCAAGGCAACGAUGCGUAGCCGACCUGAGAGGGUGAUCGGCCACACUGGAACUGAGACACGGUCCAGACUCCUACGGGAGGCAGCAGUAGGGAAUCUUCCGCAAUGGGCGAAAGCCUGACGGAGCAACGCCGCGUGAGUGAUGAAGGUCUUCGGAUCGUAAAACUCUGUUAUUAGGGAAGAACAAAUGUGUAAGUAACUAUGCACGUCUUGACGGUACCUAAUCAGAAAGCCACGGCUAACUACGUG
rnacentral:rRNA from 1 species